rnacentral:tRNA from 1 species
GGCCAGGAAUGGGAAUCGAACCCAACAGUGUUCCGCUUACCGGGCAGAUGCCAUGUCCACUAGGCUACCCUGUAC